rnacentral:lncRNA from 1 species
AGAACAUCAAAUAAAGACACUGAAAAUUCUAUGAAGUAUACUUGAAUAUUUUAUAAGAUUAUUUGAGAUGAUUUUGUGCAACCCUUGAAGGCUUGAAGUGAAGAAAUUAUUAUCAGAGGCUAGAGAAAAAGGGAUCUUUGUUAUGUAGUAGAAAAAAGUUUGCUAACAUUGUUGCCUGCUGAAAUGUGGAAAAGAAAACAUAUCUAAGAAACUGGCACAUUUGGUUAAGGAAAUUUCCAGGUACAAUAUUGAAAAUGCCAACUGAUUUUUUAAUACUAUGUAUGAUUAAAUAGAGAGAAAUGAGAUACAAAAGAAACCAUUCACUUUUAAAGCAUAAUUUGGAUAAAAUAUCAAGAAUUUAGGAUCUUUGGGUUAAAAAAUAACUGAUUUUUAUUCCCAGCAUCUACAUUGUAAAAGAUUCUGAAAUUAAUGCAUUACUUUAAGGACAAAUUUAAAUCCAGGAUAUACUCUAAGACCCUUUGUUAAGACUUGAAAAAAUUAAAACUGUUCUUCCUAGAACCUUUAGUCACACAAGAGGCUUUCUGAGUAUAUCAAAGGCAUUUUCAUAAGAUUCUUGGCUCUAAACCAAAAAUAGAAAAUAUAUGUCUCAGAGAUUUAUGGGUGUGGCUGCUUUCUAAUGAUGUGUAUUAUAGUUUGAUAUAUAAGAAGUCCCUAAGUUUUAAAGAGAAUUGUAUCAGCAGAGGUACUGCCUGUUUGGAUUGGAAGGGCAUAUCUUUCAGUACACCAGCUUUCUAUGUUUAUGUGAUAAACAUUUAUAUUUACAUCUUAAAAACUGAAUAGAAUGUUUUAAAUGAGAUGAGGUGUGAAAAAACCCUAAAGUUAUAUUGUAACAAAAAGAGUCUCAUAUGUAGCUAUUUUGUAAAGUUUGUCUAUUUUCAACAAAGGGAAUAUGUUGAAUGUUAGUGGGAUUAAGUGUUAUACUGAAGUAUGAGUAAUAGUUUCUUACUGUGCUUGUAACUGGUACAGAUUUCUACAAUGGUUGCAUGUAGAUCUGAACAAAUACAGUGUUAUGAAGUCUUCUGCCUAUGAUCUUAAGAACUCUUCAUUCUUUUUCAAUGAUAUCUUCAAAGCCAGAAUAUUACAAGAGCAACAAAUUUUUGCUUAGCAUCUCUUCAAACUUCAAAUCCACCGCACAUUGACAGAUUUGUUUCUUUCUCUCACUGUACAUCUUUGGAGAAACCCCUUUAUUCACCUUGUUGAGGAACUCUAAGACUUUUUUUCUUAAUUUAAAAAAGAAACAAUGAAGGUCCAAGGCAGUAUCUAAUGAAUCCACUGUCAUAGCCAGUAUUAAAGAAUAAGUGGGCUAUGUAGAUUAAUGUUGAAUGUUACCCUUAAACUUAAUGGUGGCAUGAUGAGAUGUCUUUCUUUUGAAAAAUAGCCUGAUAUUAUAUAUUAUAUUAUAUAUCAUAAAAAUAAAUUCACAGAUGUAAACUCCUGGUUUACUGAAAACUGCUCUAUUUUCCUGCUCUGAGAAGGAUCCUUAGAGUUUUCCUGAAAUUGACUCUUUGCUACUCAAUUUAUCAGCACUGCCAUCCUUGGCAUCAUUGAUAACAAUAAUUCUGGUCUUUUCAGAUUAAGUUUCCAGUCUCCAUUUAACACUUUAUUAAAAGAAAACUCCUGCUUUUAAUUAUAAUUUUAAAAUUUCCUUAAUUAUUGGUGUAUAUUUGCUAUAUUCAUAUUUUCAGUCCUGAGAAUUGAACCCAGGGCUUCAGGCAAGCUCUUUGCUAUUGAGACCCUACCCCUAUACCUAAAAUGCUAUUUUUAUAGUACUGAACAUCCCAAUAUUGCUUGUAUUUGAUAUUUUACUUUAAAUGCCUGUCAUGAGUCUUGGAGAUUAUGUGUAAUGCAUUUUAUUUCUUCUAAUUUAAAUGUAGGAUAUUAUUUAUUAUUUUCU